ACACGUACUGUGCGAACGUUAUUCGGAAUCACUGGGCUUAAAGGGUACGUAGGCGGCCUAUCAAGUCAGGUGUGAAAUCCCACGGCUCAACCGUGGAACUGCGCUUGAAACUGAUAGGCUUGAGGAAGACAGGGGUGUGUGGAACUUCUCGUGGAGCGGUGAAAUGUGUUGAUAUGAGAAGGAACACCGGUGGCGAAGGCGACACACUGGGUCUUUUCUGACGCUGAGGUACGAAAGCCAGGGGAGCGAACGGGAUUAGAUACCCUAGUAGUCC
rnacentral:rRNA from 1 species